rnacentral:sRNA from 2 species
AGAAGCUUCUACCAGGGUUCGAUUCGAGCGCAGCGAGAAAGCGUUGCCGCAGGCAACGACCCGAAGGGCGAAGCGCGCAGCGCUGAGUCAUCCUUCCCCCACCACCA